rnacentral:tRNA from 1 species
CCGUAGCGAUUGGCAGGGUUACUUCUUUGCUAGAGACGGGGUCGCAGGUUCGAGUCCUGCUCUACGGG